CCUACGGGCGGCAGCAGUAGGGAAUCUUCCACAAUGGGCGAAAGCCUGAUGGAGCAACGCCGCGUGGGUGAAGAAGGUCUUCGGAUCGUAAAACCCUGUUGUUAGAGAAGAAAGUGCGUGAGAGUAACUGUUCACGUUUCGACGGUAUCUAACCAGAAAGCCACGGCUAACUACGUGCCAGCAGCCGCGGUAAUACGUAGGUGGCAAGCGUUAUCCGGAUUGAUUGGGCGUAACGGGAACGCAGGCGGUCUUUUAAGUCUGAUGUGAAAGCCUUCGGCUUAACCGGAGUAGUGCAUUGGAAACUGGGAGACUUGAGUGCAGAAGAGGAGAGUGGAACUCCAGGUGUAGCGGUGAAAUGCGUAGAUAUAUGGAAGAACACCAGUGGCGAAAGCGGCUCUCUGGUCUGUAACUGACGCUGAGGUUCGAAAGCGUAGGUAGCAAACAGGAUUAGAUACCCUUGUAGUC
rnacentral:rRNA from 1 species